rnacentral:lncRNA from 1 species
GACCUGGCCUCCCUGGUUAGCUCCUUGAGGCCACUUCUGUGCUUGCACGCAGCCACCUGCUCUCAGAAGCAGCAGUGGUUCAUCAAAUCCCUCUCGCUCAGGAUUCCUCUAACACCUUCCCAGCACACACGCAUACACAGCCAAAGAGUUGUGAAGCUGGGGUUCGAAUCCCUAUGCCCCAGGGCCCACGGGGAAGGGCCAGUCACCGCAGGUGUGGAUGAGCUGAUUCCUCAGCCUUUUUACCAACAGCCAAGGAAUGUGGGAAAGACGGAGUUUAUUCGGAUCAGAGUACAGAUCCAGAGGGAUGGCGCAGGUCUGCAAGGGGAGUGGGAACAAUUUAUUGAGAAAAAGCUUCUGUCUAAGAGAGGCAGAAGGGGGACAGCAAAGUACAUUGGCUGGGUCGGACACUGUCAAGGCCAACUGGCAAGGCCUUUCACUCGGGCCUCACAAAAGGCUCCUCAGACUCAGUUAACAUCAGUGCUGUGCCUCGCGACCGCCCUAGUGCCGGGCCAGGGCUGCGUCACCAGAGCAAUGCCGAGACCUAACCCUUUUGUCAACAAACCUGCCUCAAUCUUCUGACGGAGCCAGCGGUCACUAGUCGAACAGUACCUGAGGAGAGGGUUCAGGAGAGCAUGAUCUGCGGUGGAGCCCGGGGUAAGGAGCACCUCCGUCACCAGGGGGAGCGGUGGACACGCGUGAAGGACAGUCCUGGCUUUGCUUCUGUGUCCCCGAUGUGACAGUCUCGGCUCAGAAGUCAUGAGGCCAAGACUUUCCCCCACUUGUCUACUGGGUAAAGAGCCUGGCUGCGUGGACGGAGGAAACCGUUUUUUAUGCCUCGAUUUCCCCCUAUUUUUCUAUUCGUGUUUUCACCACAUGAAACAUUAAAUGUCCAAUACCAUGCUUUAAGUCUUAGAUUAUGAGUUUCGUUUUUGUUGUUUCUAGUCCGGUACUGGGAGUUGAGACAGGCUGUCUCUAAGUGUUGAAAUUGUCUGGGGUGGGCCCAAACUUGCAGUCCUCCUGUCUCAGCCGCCAGAAGGGCUGAGAUUACAGACUCAAGCCACCAUUCCCUUGCUUUUUGUUUGUGACAGGUCUCACUUUGGCUUCCAGGCUCUUUUUUGAUACCGGAGAUCGAACUCAGGACCUUGUGCUUGCAAGGCAGGCAGCCGAACCACUGAGCUAAAUCCCUUUGUAAGCCACCCUGGCUUCGAGUUUGCAAUCCUCCUGCCUCAGCCUCCUGAAUACUGGGGUUACAGAUGUGUGCCACCAUACCUUUCAUGCAGUGUUUUAAAAUUAAUACUCCAUUCAGUUUAUGGGACAGGCAGUGGAACCACUGAGCUAAAUCCCCGGCCCUGCAUUCAGUUUAGAAAAGACAGCUUUUAAUGAAAUGUUUUCACAUAAAGGAAUAUGAUCCAGAAGCUGC